GUCGCUGAUGGAUGGACCCGCGGUGCAUUAGCUAGUUGGUGAGGUAACGGCUCACCAAGGCCACGAUGCAUAGCCGACCUGGGAGGGUGAUCGGCCACACUGGGACUGAGACACGGCCCAGACUCCUACGGGAGGCAGCAGUAGGGAAUCUUCGGCAAUGGACGAAAGUCUGACCGAGCAACGCCGCGUGAGUGAAGAAGGUUUUCGGA
rnacentral:rRNA from 1 species